GACGACGCUGGCGGCGUGGAUUAGGCAUGCAAGUCGAACGGUAUCAUCCGUUUCGGGGGUGAGAGAGUGGCGAACUGGUGAGUAACACGUAGGUUAUCUACCCUCAAGACGGGGACAACCCAGGGAAACUUGGGCUAAUACCGGAUGUGAGCAACUUUUAGUUGUUUGAAAGGUGGCGUAAGCUGUCGCUUGGGGAUGAGCCUGCGUCCUAUUAGUUAGUUGGUGAGGUAACGGCUCACCUAGGCAAUGAUAGGUAGCCGGCCUGAGAGGGUGUCCGGCCACACUGGAACUGAGACACGGUCCAGACUCCUACGGGAGGCAGCAGUGGGGAAUUUUGGGCAAUGGGGAGACCCUGACCCAGCGACGCCGCGUGAGGGACGAAGGCCCUUGGGUCGUAAACCUCUUUUGCAGGGGAAGAAGAAGAUGACGGUACCUUGCGAACAAGUCCCGGCUAACUACGUG
rnacentral:rRNA from 1 species